GUGAAAUUUUGAAAAAGAUAAAUUUGAUUGAUAACGUCGAUUUUUUUUUAACUUAGACAAAAACCUAUAUACACCCCCUUUUUUUGUUAACGUUAAAUGGUUGCUCCCAUACACUUUAACCUAUAUACACCCCCUUUUUUUGUUAAAGUUAAAAGGUUGCUCCCAUACACGUUAAUUAAAGUAUACUAUGACGAAAACAUUUAUAAAAUUUAGACUAUAUAUAUAUAUAUUAUAUAUAUAUAUAUAUAUUUUAUUACAUCUUGUGAUCAAUUUUAUUUGGC
rnacentral:lncRNA from 1 species